AUUGAACGCUGGCGGCAUGCCUUACACAUGCAAGUCGAACGGCAGCACGGGGCAACCUGGUGGCGAGUGGCGAACGGGUGAGUAAUGCAUCGGAACGUACCUUUCAGUGGGGGAUAACGUAGCGAAAGUUACGCUAAUACCGCAUAUUCUGUGAGCAGGAAAGCAGGGGAUCGCAAGACCUUGCGCUGAUUGAGCGGCCGAUGUCAGAGUAGCUAGUUGGUGAGGUAAAGGCUCACCAAGGCGACGAUCUGUAGCGGGUCUGAGAGGAUGAUCCGCCACCCUGGAACUGGAACACGGUCCAGACUCCUACGGGAGGCAGCAGUGGGGAAUUUUGGACAAUGGGGGCAACCCUGAUCCAGCCAUGCCGCGUGAGUGAAGAAGGCCUUCGGGUUGUAAAGCUCUUUCGGCCGGGAAGAAAUCGCACGGGCUAAUACCCUGUGUGGAUGACGGUACCGGAAUAAGAAGCACCGGCUAACUACGUGCCAGCCGCCGCGGUAACAC
rnacentral:rRNA from 1 species